rnacentral:rRNA from 1 species
GAUGAACGCUGGCGGCGUGCCUAAUACAUGCAAGUCGAGCGAACGGACGAGAAGCUUUCUUCUCUCAUGUUAGCGGCGGACGGGGGAGUAACACGUGGAUAACCUACCUAUAAGACUGGGAUAACCUCGGGAAACCGUAGCUAAAACCGGCUAAUAUUUUGAACAGCAUGGUUCAAAAGUGAAAGACGGCUUUGCUGUCACUUAUCGAUGGAUCCGCGCUGCAUUAGCUAGUUGGUAAGGUAACGGCUUACCAAGGCAACGAUGCAUAGCCGACCUGAGAGGGUGAUCGGCCACACUGGAACUGAGACACGGUCCAGACUCCUACGGGAGGCAGCAGUAGGGAAUCUUGCGCAAUGGGCGAAAGCCUGACGGAGCAACGCCGCGUGUGUGAUGAAGGUCUUCGGAUCGUAAAGCUCUGUUAUUGGGGAAGAACAGAUGUGUAAGUAACCGUGCACAUAUUGACGGUACCUGAACAGAAAGCCACGGCUAACUACGUG